rnacentral:rRNA from 1 species
UACGAAGGGGGCUAGCGUUGUUCGGAAUUACUGGGCGUAAAGCGCGCGCAGGCGGUCUUCCAAGUCAGUGGUGAAAGCCCGGAGCUCAACUCCGGAACUGCCUUUGAUACUGAAGAUCUUGAGUUCGGGAGAGGUGAGUGGAACUGCGAGUGUAGAGGUGAAAUUCGUAGAUAUUCGCAAGAACACCAGUGGCGAAGGCGGCUCACUGGCCCGAUACUGACGCUGAGGCACGAAAGCGUGGGGAGCAAACAGG